rnacentral:rRNA from 1 species
AUACGUAGGGGGCGAGCGUUGUCCGGAAUGAUUGGGCGUAAAGGGCGCGUAGGCGGCCCGGUAAGUCUGGAGUGAAAGUCCUGUUUUUAAGAUGGGAAUUGCUUUGGAUACUGUCGGGCUUGAGUGCAGGAGAGGUAAGUGGAAUUCCCAGUGUAGCGGUGAAAUGCGUAGAGAUUGGGAGGAACACCAGUGGCGAAGGCGACUUACUGGACUGUAACUGGCGCUGAGGAGCGAAAGUGUGGGGAGCAAACAGGAUUAGAUACCCUGGUAGUCCACACCGUAAACGAUGGAUACUAGGUGUGCGGGGACUGACCCCCUGCGUGCCGCAGUUAACACAAUAAGUAUCCCACCUGGGGAGUACGAUCGCAAGAUUGAAACUCAAAUGAAUUGGCGGGG